rnacentral:lncRNA from 1 species
GCCGCCGAGAGGGGGCAGCAGCCGCCUGCAGGACCAGCGCCCAGUGCCCAGCGCCCAGCCGGGCCCGCCUGCAACGGAACAUCUUUUGCUUUUGGAAACAAAACAAGCGGUUCGCACGUCUAAAACCACCCAGGGAACGGAGGGGUUUCCAGAAAAUAUGAGCAGAGGCCACUGCACGCUUCCACCCACCCCAAGCACCUCCCGGCGACCUCCCUGGAAGAAUACAAUAAUCCCAAGAGGCCCUGCAGGGCAUGGAGAAACUGGAAUCAGAAGGGAGAAGAGCUUUGAGUAUGCCUGAAGCCUGUGAUGCCAAGACUGUUCUCUCUGGAAGUGCCAACCUGUGUAAUAGCCAAGAGGUCCCACUGGCUCCCCUCCCCUCCCAGUGAAUUCUGCAGAGAUUAAAUAUACUGUGGGAAGGAUCUGUGUCUACAGUGUUACAUACGUGCAGGUAAGUUUUAUUUUAAAUAAACUUCCUUUUAAGGAGCCCAAACAUUGCACAGCUAAUCUCUCACAGCAUCACAGCAGUGAGCCAAAUGUCUCAAGAGUCACCAAAUCAAGCCUCCUUUGUUCCAACCCCUGGUUGGAAGGACUCCCUGUUACCUGCCUUGUCUGCCUAGACCCCAUCGCAAAUGAUCACAUGUGUUGUACAUUAGAAUAAAACUUAGGGAAAUGUGUUCUUCCGACUCUGUCUUUAAUGUGCCCGAAUCAAGCUGACCUUCAUGAGAUAAUUCAAUGCAAGUAAACGAACCUCUAUUGAAAACUAUUGAAAACUUUCUAACCUGUCAGGCAGAAUAGGCUGGAAGAGCAAUUGGAAAUUCUUGGAGAGGGAAGUAAAGGAAGUU